AGAGUUUGAUCCUGGCUCAGGAUGAACGCUGGCGGCGUGCUUAACGCAUGCAAGUCGAACGGGAAAUAUUUCAUUGAGACUUCGGUGGAUUUGAUCUAUUUCUAGUGGCGGACGGGUGAGUAACGCGUGGGUAACCUGCCUUAUACAGGGGGAUAACAGUCAGAAAUGGCUGCUAAUACCGCAUAAGCGCACAGAGCUGCAUGGCUCAGUGUGAAAAACUCCGGUGGUAUAAGAUGGACCCGCGUUGGAUUAGCUAGUUGGUGGGGUGACGGCCCACCAAGGCGACGAUCCAUAGCCGGCCUGAGAGGGUGAACGGCCACAUUGGGACUGAGACACGGCCCAGACUCCUACGGGAGGCAGCAGUGGGGAAUAUUGCACAAUGGGGGAAACCCUGAUGCAGCGACGCCGCGUGGAGGAAGAAGGUCUUCGGAUUGUAAACUCCUGUUGUUGAGGAAGAUAAUGACGGUACUCGACAAGGAAGUGACGGCUAACUACGUGCCAGCAGCCGCGGUAAAACGUAGGUCACAAGCGUUGUCCGGAAUUACUGGGUGUAAAGGGAGCGCAGGCGGGAAGACAAGUUGGAAGUGAAAUCUAUGGGCUCAACCCAUAAACUGCUUUCAAAACUGUUUUUCUUGAGUAGUGCAGAGGUAGGCGGAAUUCCCGGUGUAGCGGUGGAAUGCGUAGAUAUCGGGAGGAACACCAGUGGCGAAGGCGGCCCUCUGGGCCGAGACCGACGCUGAGGCGCGAAAGCUGGGGGAGCGAACAGGAUUAGAUACCCUGGUAGUCCCAGCCGUAAACGAUGGACGCUAGGUGUGGGGGGACGAUCCCCCCGUGCCGCAGCCAACGCAUUAAGCGUCCCGCCUGGGGAGUACGUUCGCAAGAAUGAAACUCAAAGGAAUUGACGGGGACCCGCACAAGCGGUGGAGCAUGUGGUUUAAUUCGAAGCAACGCGAAGAACCUUACCAAAUCUUGACAUCCCUCUGACCGGUCCUUAAUCGGACCUUCUCUUCGGAGCAGAGGAGACAGGUGGUGCAUGGUUGUCGUCAGCUCGUGUCGUGAGAUGUUGGGUUAAGUCCCGCAACGAGCGCAACCCCUAUCCUCAGUAGCCAGCAUUUAAGGUGGGCACUCUGGGGAGACUGCCAGGGAUAACCUGGAGGAAGGCGGGGAUGACGUCAAAUCAUCAUGCCCCUUAUGAUUUGGGCUACACACGUGCUACAAUGGCGUAAACAAAGGGAAGCGAGAUCGUGAGAUGGAGCAAAUCCCAAAAAUAACGUCCCAGUUCGGACUGUAGUCUGCAACCCGACUACACGAAGCUGGAAUCGCUAGUAAUCGCGGAUCAGAAUGCCGCGGUGAAUACGUUCCCGGGUCUUGCAC
rnacentral:rRNA from 1 species